AAAGACUUAGUCCUAACCUUACUGUUAAUUUUCGCUAAACAUAUACAUGCAAGUAUCCGCGCACCAGUGUAAAUGCCCUCAGCGUCUACCCCACAGACCUAAGGAGCAGGUAUCAGGCGCACUACACCGUAGCCCAAGACGCCUUGCUCAGCCACACCCCCACGGGUAUUCAGCAGUAAUUGACAUUAAGCAAUAAGUGCAAACUUGACUUAGUUAUAGCGACCACCGGGUCGGUAAAUCUUGUGCCAGCCACCGCGGUCACACAAGAGACCCGAACUAACAGUAAUCGGCGUAAAGUGUGGUAACAUGCUAUCCAACUAGCUAAGACCAAAAUGCAACUAAGCUGUCAUAAGCUGACGAUGCACUUAAAACCCCCAUAAAAAUGGUCUCAGUACCCACGAUCAAUUUAAACCCACGAAAGCUAAGACACAAACUGGGAUUAGAUACCCCACUAUGCUUAGCCCUAAAUCCUGAUACUUACCCCACCUAAGUAUCCGCCCGAGAACUACGAGCACAAACGCUUAAAACUCUAAGGACUUGGCGGUGCCCUAAACCCACCUAGAGGAGCCUGUUCUAUAAUCGAUAACCCACGAUACACCCGACCAUCUCUUGCCCAUGCAGCCUACCUACCGCCGUCCCCAGCCCGCCUUAAGUGAAAGAACAACAGCAGGCAUAAUAGCUACCCGCUAACAAGACAGGUCAAGGUAUAGCAUAUGGGAUGGAAGAAAUGGGCUACAUUUUCUAAUCUAGAACAACCACGGAAGAGGGCAUGAAACACCCUCCGAAGGCGGAUUUAGCAGUAAAGUAGGAUCAGAAAGCCCACUUUAAGCCGGCCCUAGGGCACGUACAUACCGCCCGUCACCCUCCUCACAAGCUAUCUUACUAAAUAAAUAAUACUAUUAUCAGCUAAAGAUGAGGCAAGUCGUAACAAGGUAAGUGUACCGGAAGGUGCACUUAGCACAC
rnacentral:ncRNA from 1 species